rnacentral:rRNA from 1 species
UACGGGGGGAGCAAGCGUUGUUCGGAUUUACUGGGCGUAAAGGGCGGGUAGGCGGCCACCGCAAGUCGACUGUGAAAUCUCCGGGCUUAACCCGGAAAGGUCAGCCGAUACUGCGGGGCUAGAGUGCAGAAGGGGCAACUGGAAUCUCGGUGUAGCGGUGAAAUGCGUAGAUAUCGAGAGGAACACCUGCGGCGAAGGCGGGUUGCUGGGCUGACACUGACGCUGAACUGCGAAAGCUAGGGGAGCGAACGGG